CGGCGGAGGCGGCGGCGGCGGCGGCGAUGGCAGCGGACCCUGAGCGAGCUUGAGGGCUCGGACCCAGCUCCCUCCCGCGAAACCUUGGGCCGAUCCGGCGCUGCGGCCCCAGCUCGCUCCGCUCCUGCUCCCUCCCCGGCCGCUGCCUGGGCGGAGGCAGAGGCAGAGGCCCGGGCUGGCCGCCCUGCUCGUGCCCCAGCUCGGCCCCGGACGGCCCGGCUGCUGUGCAGAGAGGAGGCCGAGUCGGUAGUGAAAAGAGAAUACUGAAGAAUAGGAUCUCAAGAUGAGUAAAAAGCCCCCAAAUCGCCCUGGAAUCACUUUUGAGAUUGGUGCUCGUUUGGAGGCACUGGACUACUUACAAAAAUGGUAUCCAUCACGAAUUGAAAAAAUUGACUAUGAGGAGGGCAAGAUGUUGGUCCAUUUUGAGCGCUGGAGUCAUCGUUAUGAUGAGUGGAUUUACUGGGAUAGCAAUAGAUUGCGACCCCUUGAGAGACCAGCACUAAGAAAAGAAGGGCUAAAAGAUGAGGAAGAUUUCUUUGAUUUUAAAGCUGGAGAAGAAGUUCUGGCUCGUUGGACAGACUGUCGCUAUUACCCUGCCAAGAUUGAAGCAAUUAACAAAGAAGGAACAUUUACAGUUCAGUUUUAUGAUGGAGUAAUUCGUUGUUUAAAAAGAAUGCACAUUAAAGCCAUGCCCGAGGAUGCUAAGGGGCAGGUGAAAUCCCAGCAUCCACUAAGCUGGUGUUGUCCUAUCGACCCAGCUGGAUCGUGUAACCAGUCUAUGGGAAGUGAGGAUUGGAUAGCUUUAGUCAAAGCAGCUGCUGCAGCUGCAGCCAAGAACAAAACAGGGAGUAAACCUCGAACCAGCGCUAACAGCAAUAAAGAUAAGGAUAAAGAUGAGAGAAAGUGGUUUAAAGUACCUUCAAAGAAGGAGGAAACUUCAACUUGUAUAGCCACACCAGACGUAGAGAAGAAGGAAGAUCUGCCUACAUCUAGUGAAACAUUUGGACUUCAUGUAGAGAACGUUCCAAAGAUGGUCUUUCCACAGCCAGAGAGCACAUUAUCAAACAAGAGGAAAAAUAAUCAAGGCAACUCGUUUCAGGCAAAGAGAGCUCGACUUAACAAGAUUACUGGUUUGUUGGCAUCCAAAGCUGUUGGGGUGGAUGGUGCUGAAAAAAAGGAAGACUACAAUGAAACAGCUCCAAUGCUGGAGCAGGCGAUUUCACCUAAACCUCAAAGUCAGAAAAAAAAUGAAGCUGACAUUAGCAGUUCUGCCAACACUCAGAAACCUGCACUGUUAUCCUCAACUUUGUCUUCAGGGAAGGCUCGCAGCAAGAAAUGCAAACAUGAAUCUGGAGAUUCUUCUGGGUGUAUAAAACCCCCUAAAUCACCACUUUCCCCAGAAUUAAUACAAGUCGAGGAUUUGACGCUUGUAUCUCAGCUUUCUUCUUCAGUGAUAAAUAAAACUAGUCCUCCACAGCCUGUGAAUCCCCCUAGACCUUUCAAGCAUAGUGAGCGGAGAAGAAGAUCUCAGCGUUUAGCCACCUUACCCAUGCCUGAUGAUUCUGUAGAAAAGGUUUCUUCUCCCUCUCCAGCCACUGAUGGGAAAGUAUUCUCCAUCAGUUCUCAAAAUCAGCAAGAAUCUUCAGUAUCAGAGGUGCCUGAUGUUGCACAUUUGCCACUUGAGAAGCUGGGACCCUGUCUCCCUCUUGACUUAAGUCGUGGUUCAGAAGUUACAGCACCGGUAGCCUCAGAUUCCUCUUACCAUAAUGAAUGUCCCAGGGCAGAAAAAGAGGAUACACAGAUGCUUCCAAAUCCUUCUUCCAAAGCAAUAGCUGAUGGAAGAGGAGCUCCAGCAGCAGCAGGAAUAUCGAAAACAGAAAAAAAAGUGAAAUUGGAAGACAAAAGCUCAACAGCAUUUGGUAUCAGGAGUUGGGAUUUCUCAGCACUGCUAAUGAAGAUCCCCUCUUAUAGUCCAAUAAGCUUAUCAGGACUUCCAGAGUCAUGACAUGAACAGUUUAAUUGAACCCAUCCACUCUGGGCAGGUGACUGGAAUAGCUGAUUAAAACAUAAAUGCUGCUUUUAGGUUAACCACAAAGGAACAACUCAGGAUCAGUCGUGAUUGCUAAAGUAUUCACUUUUAUCUUUUAGGUAAGAGAAAAGAAAAAGAUAAGGAAAGAAGAGAGAAGAGAGACAAAGAUCACUACAAACCAAAACAGAAGAAGAAGA
rnacentral:sRNA from 1 species